UACGGGCGGGGCGAGCGUUGUUCGGAUUCAUUGGGUGUAAAGGGUGCGCAAGCGGUCGACUAAGUCGGAGGUGAAAUGUCUACGGCUCAACCGGGGCAUGGCCUCCGAUACUGGUUGACUUGAGUGCGGAAGGGGAGCGUGGAAUUCCUGGUGUAGCGGUGAAAUGCGUAGAUAUCAGGAGGAACACCGGUGGCGAAGGCGACGCUCUGGUCCGCAACUGACGCUCAUGCACGAAAGCGAGGGGAGCGAACGGG
rnacentral:rRNA from 1 species